GCCUGGCAUGGUGGCUCAUGCCAGUAAUCCAAGCUACCUGGGAGGCUGAGGUGGGAGGAUCUCUUGAGCCCAGGAGUUUGAGGCUGCAGUGAGCUAUGAUGACACCACUGCACUCCAGCCUGGGCAACAGAGUGAGACCCCAUCUCUA
rfam:Pan troglodytes isolate Yerkes chimp pedigree #C0471 (Clint) chromosome 6, whole genome shotgun sequence.